UAGUCCACGCCGUAAACGAUGGAUACUAGGUGUAGGAGGUAUCGACCCCUCCUGUGCCGCAGCUAACGCAAUAAGUAUCCCACCUGGGGAGUACGGUCGCAAGACUGAAACUCAAAGGAAUUGACGGGGCUCACACAAGCGGUGGAGGAUGUGGUUUAAUUCGAAGCAACGCGAAGAACCUUACCAGGCCUUGACAUUCUAGGAUCAAGCCAGUGAAAGCUGGUGGCUUAUCGCAAGAUGUAACUAGAACAGGUGCUGCAUGGCUGUCGUCAGCUCGUGCCGUGAGGUGUUAGGUUAAGUCCUUUAACGAGCGAAACCCCUAUUGUUAGUUGCCAGCGCGUAAUGGCGGGGACUCUAGCAAGACUGCCGCGUCCAAGUUGGAGGAAGGUGGGGACGACGUCAAGUCAUCAUGGCCCUUAUGGUCUGGGCUACACACGUCCUACAAUGGUCGGUACAAAGGGCUGCAAUGUCGCGAGGCGGAGCAAAUCCUUAAAGCCGGCCCCAGUUCGG
rnacentral:rRNA from 1 species